rnacentral:sRNA from 1 species
GGAGCAGCCCUGGGCUGGCAGGCUGACCCCCAGACUGCCUGCCAGCCAGGGCUGCUCU